GAAACCCUGACGCAGCAACGCCGCGUGGGUGAUGAAGGUCUUCGGAUUGUAAAGCCCUGUUUUCUGGGACGAUAAUGACGGUACCAGAGGAGGAAGCCACGGCUAACUACGUGCCAGCAGCCGCGGUAAUACGUAGGUGGCGAGCGUUGUCCGGAUUUACUGGGCGUAAAGGGUGCGUAGGCGGAUGUUUAAGUGGGAUGUGAAAUCCCCGGGCUUAACCUGGGGGCUGCAUUCCAAACUGGAUAUCUAGAGUGCAGGAGAGGAAAGCGGAAUUCCUAGUGUAGCGGUGAAAUGCGUAGAGAUUAGGAAGAACACCAGUGGCGAAGGCGGCUUUCUGGACUGUAACUGACGCUGAGGCACGAAAGCGUGGGUAGCAAACAGGAUUAGAUACCCUGGUAGUCC
rnacentral:rRNA from 1 species